rnacentral:rRNA from 1 species
UGGGUAACGUGCCCCGAUGACUGGGACAACCCGGGGAAACCCGGGCUAAUACCGGAUAUGCCCCCUGACAUCUGUCAGGUGUGUAAAGGAAGCUUCGGCCUCCGCAUCGGGAUCGGCCCGCGGCGCAUUAGCUUGUUGGUGGGGUAAUGGCCUACCAAGGCGACGACGGGUAGCCGGCCUGAGAGGGUGACCGGCCACACUGGGACUGAGACACGGCCCAGACUCCUACGGGAGGCAG